rnacentral:rRNA from 1 species
GACGAACGCUGGCGGCGUGCCUAAUGCAUGCAAGUUGAGCGCUGAAGGUUGGUACUUGUACCAACUGGAUGAGCAGCGAACGGGUGAGUAACGCGUGGGGAAUCUGCCUUUGAGCGGGGGACAACAUUUGGAAACGAAUGCUAAUACCGCAUAAAAACUUUAAACACAAGUUUUAAGUUUGAAAGAUGCAAUUGCAUCACUCAAAGAUGAUCCCGCGUUGUAUUAGCUAGUUGGUGAGGUAAAGGCUCACCAAGGCGAUGAUACAUAGCCGACCUGAGAGGGUGAUCGGCCACAUUGGGACUGAGACACGGCCCAAACUCCUACGGGAGGCAGCAGUAGGGAAUCUUCGGCAAUGGACGAAAGUCUGACCGAGCAACGCCGCGUGAGUGAAGAAGGGUUUCGGAUCGUAAAACUCUGUUGGUAGAGAAGGACGUUGGUGAGAGUGGAAAGCUCAUCAAGUGACGGUAACUACCCAGAAAGGGACGGCUAACUACGUG